AAACAUAGACGUAUUACUACAUAUNCCGUCCGCCCGGGGAUUACAAGCACCAGCUUAAAACCCAAAGGACUUGGCGGGGCUUUAGAUCCACCUAGAGGAGCCUGUUCUAGAACCGAUGACCCCCGUUCAACCUCACCCUUCCUUGUUCAUUCCGCCUAUAUACCACCGUCGUCAGCUUACCCUGUGAAGGUCCCAUAGUAAGCAAGAUUGGCACUGCCCAAAACGCCAGGUCGAGGUGUAGCGUAUGGAAGGGGAAGCAAUGGGCUACAUUCACUACUGCCAGUGAACACGAAUAGUGCACUGAAAUAUGCACAUUGAAGGAGGAUUUAGCAGUAAGCAGGAAAUAGAGUGUUCU
rnacentral:rRNA from 1 species